rnacentral:misc_RNA from 1 species
GAAUUGCCCUAUGGAUCUGGUUCUGCUAUUAGUCCAAAAAUGGACCACCUGGUAUGUUUCUUAUCAGGUACCCUUGCUCUUGGUGCCACCAAGGGCAUCACCAAGGAAGAAGCAAUGAGUAAAAGCUUGUUGAGCUUCGAUGAUCUGGAAAAUCUAAAUCUGGCAGAGGAUCUUGCAAAAACUUGCUACGAGAUGUAUGAAGUAACCUCUACCGGUCUUGCCCCAGAAAUAGUUUAUUUCCAUACCGA